UACAGAGGGUGCGAGCGUUAAUCGGAAUUACUGGGCGUAAAGCGCGCGUAGACGGUUUGGUAAGUCAGAUGUGAAAUCCCCGGGCUCAACCUGGGAACUGCAUUUGAUACUGCCUGGCUAGAGUAUCGAAGAGGGAAGUGGAAUUUCCGGUGUAGCGGUGAAAUGCGUAGAUAUCGGAAGGAACACCAGUGGCGAAGGCGAUCAUCUGGGGUUGUUCUGACACUGAGGAGCGAAAGCUAGGGGAGCAAACGG
rnacentral:rRNA from 1 species